GCUGGGCAUGGUGGCACAUGCCUGUAAUCCGAGCUACUUGGGAGGCUGAGGCAGGGGAAUUGCUUGAACCCGGGAGAUGGAGGUUACAGUGAGCCGAGAUCAUGACAGUGCACUCCAGCCUGGGUGACAGAGCGAGACUCUGUCUCAA
rnacentral:SRP_RNA from 1 species